AGGAGGCAUUCAGAAGAGUUCUUGUUGAUGUACUGUUCUAUAUUCUCAUAGCAUCAGUAGGAGUUGUAUUUAUUACUAUCUUGGUUGCGCUGAUAUGGCAUUUUCAGAAGCACAAAGGCAGGUCAGUUCAGAUCCUGAUACCAAGUAUUCAUCAUGCAAGUUUGAUCCUUGCAGAUGAGGGAGACAAUCCUGAGAAAUGUGAAGAAGGGGAUGAAAACAGUCCUCGUUCAGAAAAUGAUGAAAAUCCUGGUGUGCAGGGACUAGAUGGUACAAACUCCACAGAGCAAAGGAGUAAAGAUUUUGUGAGAAGCAACAAAAAGGCUAUAAACCCUGCAGCAGCUGACAAGGUGCCACAUUUUUCUGGUUCCACGUUUCAAGGUGGAGGAAGGGGCGAGCUGUCCAGGCACGGAGGUAUGACAGCUGUAAAGCCUCCUGCUUUGGUUAAUGAAAUGCGUGUUACCCCAAAUGCUAAGAACACCACCCAUCCAGAAUUUGAGCACUCCAUUCCCCCAGCGUUUGAUGGCUGUGCUCCUGCAGAACUCAAUUCUUGCAGUCCUCUAGGAUCUGAGGGCUUGAAGGAUGACUAUGUUAUUUUGUGUAACUCGGACUGUGUGACUUCAGGAUCCAUACGGUCCUGGAAAUGCAGUGAAGGAGACAUGCCUUCUCAGUACGCUUUGAUGGACAGCAGCAAAAGGGGGCUCCCAGAAGACAAGUCUGGAGAUUCAGUAUGCAGUUCUUUCCAUUCGAUUUCCCAGGAAAGAUAUCCACAGUAUUGGACUUGAGGUUUGGACUCUUCCCUUCUGUCUCAGCUGGCUUUGAGCUAACCUUGCAUUUCUGCUGUUGCUCAUACAGAUCUGAUUCUUUGCUUUGAAGAAUCGGGUGGAAGCCUGGAGAGAAAUUUCUCUGUGGAUCAGUUUGUUUUCCAGAGCAGAUGCCCUUCUCUUUUCUUUGCUGAAGGUCUUCCAGGAGAACCUGGGAGGAGUCCCUUGGAAAGCAGACCUAGUAAUUAACACUGAGAAGCAUUCAGUGCCCGCUUGUCUUUGCUUCCACUAAGAGGUGUCACUGAAAAGAGAAGGGCCUCAGGGAUUUCUGGAGGCCAGAUCAGGGCUCUGACCUCAGUCCCCAUCAGCCCCCAUGGCUGGUCCAUGCACCUGACUGAAUGGACAGGGGAGCAGGGCCAGCACCUGAACAGCUCAGUGGACAUGACUUCACUCUUCAUUUAACACAUACAGUGUUAAUAAAACCACAGUUUAACUUGGUAGAUUUAAGCAUGAUUGUACUCCUGUUGUUUGCUUAGAGGAAUGUGCCACUUAGGUGGAAGUCAGUAUCAACUAUCUUAGGAGAUGGGAACUGCACCGAAGAAUGUGCCGCAGCUUUUAUUUAGGAACUGUUGUUUUAGAAGGAAAAAAAGGAAGAAAACGAACGUGGCUAGCAAAUGGGCAUAGCCAUAUAUGUACUUGCGAUUAACAAAUAGCUUUGGUAAUUAGAUGAUGUAUUUUCUGCAAUGCUCAUGUUUAAAAUUUAUCUUAAAUGGUGUGUAGUAAUUUUAAGAUGGCUUUAUCUUAGUUACAACGUGCUGCUUGUAUGUUUUCUGAAGUAUCUCCUCUUCCAGAAUGUUGAAUAAAAAGUGGGUUUUUUUGGUUGUAGUUAUUACUAAAAAGGUGUUCCUGAAUGUAAUCUGGUUUGCUCUUUAAGGGUAUCUUAAUACAUGUUCUUUCUGUAGGUAAAAUCUAUGGCUUUGUAUUCUAACCCUGCUGUAGGCAAAGACACAUGGUUAGUGU